GAAACUAUUAUGGAUGGUUAGCUAUAUAUUUCAAGAUAUUUAUAUCUAGGGAACAAUAUAAACUAGAAAUCAUAGAGAAAUCUAAUUAUAAGACAAAGUGAAUUGAAAUAUCUUAGUAACUUUAGUAAAAGAAAUCAAACGAGAUUGUUAUUUGGUGUCUUCUGAAUAGCAAAAGCCUUAAUAAAUAAUUACUAUAUUUACCAAAUAUAGGUUAUAAUUGUUUAUAGUAAAUAUACUAUUUAGUAUAUUUAAGUAUAACGGAAAAAAAUCUGUUGAAAAAUAGGGGAACCUUCCUCUAAGGCUAAAAAAAAUAUAUAAGCGAUAGAGUAACAGUACCGUGAGGGAAAUACCCUGAAAUAGUAGUUUUAUAAGCAGCUCAAGUUAAAAUUUAAAUAAAUAAUAAGAGCGUACCUUUUGCAUAAUGGGUCAGCAAGUUAAUUUUAGAUGCAAGUAACAUCUCUUUUAUAAGCAUUUACAUAUAGAACAUUAGACAUUAUGUCUAAUGAUAUUAUUUUAAUAUUGGUAUGUAAAUUUAUUAAUAAAAUUAGGAGGUAGAUACGCAGAUAAACCAAUUAUGAAAAAAUGAAUUAGUAUCUAGAAUUAGACCCGAAGGCUAGUGAUCUUACCAUGGUCAGGGUUAUAAAAGCCCGAACGGGUUAUCGUUGUAAAGAUAUCCGAUGAACUGUGGUAAGUUAGUGAAAGACAAAACUGACUAGUAUAGCUGGUUUUCCGCGAAACCUAUGUAAGUAGGUAAUUUAAUUAACAUCUUAGCAGGUACAGAACUGUGAUCUCGGACAAUAUCUAAGAUAUUUGUCAACAUCGGGGGGUUGUAGUGACUUUACCGGAGAGUAUUUGCACUCGGAAGGGCAAAGAUGAAUGUUAAAUAAUCGGACAUAGUGCGAUAAGGUUGUAUGUCUAAAGGGAAACAGCCCAGAACAAGAGUUAAGGUUCCAAAAUUAUUGUUAAGUGAAAUUAAGGAUGUUUUUUUUUAAAACAAUCAGGAAAUAGGCUUAGAAGCGGCCAUUUUUUGAAGACCUCGUAACAGAGCACUGAUUAAUAAAUUAGGAAAAAACGCCGAAAAUUUAACGGAUCUAAAUAAUAUACCGAAACCUUGUACACAAAUUAAAAUUAAAGCGCUGUGGCUUAGAUUAGAUGUUAAAUCUAAAUUUAAGCGCUGUGACUUAGGAUUUUUGUGGGGUAGCGGAACAUUGGAUUAAACAAAAUAUUAAUAUUUUUCUUAAAAUAUUAAAGAUCUUGCAUAAAGCUAUCUAAACUAAAUAUAUGAUUUAUUAUAUAUUGUGAUUGAUUAUUUAUUUAACUAUACUACAAUAUAAUAAUUAAUUGAUUAUAUAUUUAACGAUAUAUUUUUAAAUUAGUUAUUAAGUGUGGGUUAUAUAGUAAAAUAAAAAAAGUUAGUAGUAGUAAAUAUAGUAGUUUAAAUAUUAUAUUACGAUUUAUGAGUAUCUGUUAAAUCCAAGAGAGAAUGCUGACAUGAGUAACGAAAAAGGCUUUUAGCCUCGCCUGAAGCUUAUGGUUUCAUCUAAAAUCGGUGUCUAAAAAAAUUAAUCAAAUGAUAAUUUUGAUGACGUUUUAUGCUUUUUUUAUAUGAUAAUACCAAAACCUUUAACAAGUAAUAAAGGUUCUGGAAAAGUUUAUUUUAUUAUUUGAAGUGGAAAAUAUUUAAUACUCAUACUUAUUGGUAUAAAAUUGUAAAUUAUAAUAUAUAAUACAUACUUAUUAUAAUAUUGUGAUUUACAAAUAUAAUAGAGUGAGUAAAAUAAUAAAUAUUUUUUAACCAAGUAAUAGUCUUUAUCUAUUAUAAUGAUAUUAUAGAUAAUAAUUAAUAAUUAAUUACCAUUAGAUUAUUAAUAUGUAUUUAUAGAUUAUAUAAUAAUUAUUAUAUAAAAUAUAUUUAUUAAAUGUUAUUAUUAAUAAUACUAUAAUAUAUAGAUUAAAGACAACUUUAUAUUGGUAAAAAAAAUAAAAGAAAAAAAACAAUAAAUAACCGUACCUAGAAACUAACUCAAGUAAGCAAGUAGAGAAUACAAAGGCGUUUGAGAGAACAAUCAUUAAGGAACUCGGCAAAUUGACUCUGUACCUUUGGAAUAAGGAGGACCAUUAUUAUUAAAUUUAACAUAUAGUAAAGUAUGAAAUUAAAUAUGAAAAAUUAAAUUAAUAAUAAGAGGAAUCAUGAAAUAAUGUUGUACGACUGUUUAAUAAAAACACAGCACUCUGCAAAGAUAAAAAAUCAAAGUAUUGAGUGUGAUGUCUGCCCAAUGUCGGCUGGGUAACGGAUCUACCUUGAUUAUUAACUGAGGUUUUGAAGGACACCCCGAUUAAUGGCGGCCUUACCUAUGAGGGUCCUAAGGUAGCGAAAUACCUUGGCCGUUAAAUGCGGUCCUGCAUGAAUGACUUAACGAUGCAACAGCUGUCUCGAUGAUUGUCUCAGUGAAAUUG
rnacentral:ncRNA from 1 species